GGGAUGCCUUCACAUGCUCCUCGAACGGCAGCACGGACUUCGGUCUGGUGGCGAGUGGCGAACGGGUGAGUAAUGUAUCGGAACGUGCCCAGUAGCGGGGGAUAACUACGCGAAAGCGUAGCUAAUACCGCAUACGCCCUACGGGGGAAAGCAGGGGAUCGCAAGACCUUGCACUAUUGGAGCGGCCGAUAUCGGAUUAGCUAGUUGGUGGGGUAACGGCUCACCAAGGCGACGAUCCGUAGCUGGUUUGAGAGGACGACCAGCCACACUGGGACUGAGACACGGCCCAGACUCCUACGGGAGGCAGCAGUGGGGAAUUUUGGACAAUGGGGGAAACCCUGAUCCAGCCAUCCCGCGUGUGCGAUGAAGGCCUUCGGGUUGUAAAGCACUUUUGGCAGGAAAGAAACGUCGCGGGUUAAUACCCCGCGGAACUGACGGUACCUGCAGAAUAAGCACCGGCUAACUACGUGCCAGCAGCCGCGGUAAUACGUAGGGUGCAAGCGUUAAUCGGAAUUACUGGGGCGUAAAGCGUGCGCAGGCGGUUCGGAAAGAAAGAUGUGAAAUCCCAUAGCUUAACUUUGGAACUGCAUUUUUAACUACCGGGCUAGAGUGUGUCAAACGGAGGUGGAAUUCCACGUGUAACACUGAAAUGCGUAAAUUUGCGUAGAACCCCUAUGGAAAAGUUUCCUCCUGGGAUAAACCUAGUCCCUCUUCCCUAAAGCUGGGGGACGAAUCGUAUAAAAACCCUGGGCAAUCCCCCCCUUAAAAAUUUUAACUUUUUUUUGGGGACUUUCGGCCUUUCUGGCCAUCCUAACCCUUAAUUUACCCCCAUCGGGCAAACCGCCCCAAAAUUAACCUCAAUACUUUAUCGGUCCCCCCCGAACUGGGGAGAUAUCUUUUUUUUUUCACCCAUAAAAUUUUCCCUA
rnacentral:rRNA from 1 species